AUUCAGAGAUGGAUUUGUGCCUUCGGGAACCGUGAGACAGGUGCUGCAUGGCUGUCGUCAGCUCGUGUUGUGAAAUGUUGGGUUAAGUCCCGCAACGAGCGCAACCCUUAUCCUUUGUUGCCAGCGGUCCGGCCGGGAACUCAAAGGAGACUGCCAGUGAUAAACUGGAGGAAGGUGGGGAUGACGUCAAGUCAUCAUGGCCCUUACGACCAGGGCUACACACGUGCUACAAUGGCGCAUACAAAGAGAAGCGACCUCGCGAGAGCAAGCGGACCUCAUAAAGUGCGUCGUAGUCCGGAUUGGAGUCUGCAACUCGACUCCAUGAAGUCGGAAUCGCUAGUAAUCGUGGAUCAGAAUGCCACGGUGAAUACGUUCCCGGGCCUUGUACACACCGCCCGUCACACCAUGGGAGUGGGUUGCAAAAGAAGUAGGUAGCUUAACCUUCGGGAGGGCGCUUACCACUUUGUGAUUCAUGACUGGGGUGAAGUCGUAACAAGGUAACCGUAGGGGAACCUGCGGUUGGAUCACCUCCUUACCUUAAAGAA
rnacentral:rRNA from 1 species